rfam:TPA: Bos taurus chromosome 1, whole genome shotgun sequence.
UGGCUCAGAGGUUAAAGUGUCUGCCUGCAAUGCAGGAGACCUGGGUUCGAUCCCUG